CUUUUCUGGAGAAUUCUGUGGACAGAGGAACCUGGAGGGAUACAGUCCAUGGGGUCGCAAAGAGUUGGACACGACUGAGCAACUAACACAUUCAUCCGUUAAACACAUUUUUACUAGGCAUAAGGUUAGAGGCUUGGCUCCAUCUUGUUCUGGAUGAGAUCCUGAUCAAAAGAAUCCCAUUAAGAUCCUGGAUUCUGGAGCCACCCUGACUUGCCCAGCUUUUCUCAUGAUGUACUCUGCAUAUACUCUCCACGUGUACUCUCCACGUUCAAAGUCAGGAGGGGCGGCCAUGAGAAGAUACCCCUCUUCCAACAUAAGGAGCAGCGGCUGUGCUUUGCUGGAGCAGCCAUGAAGAGAUACCCCACG